GCCUGGGGGGGCUCAGUCGGUUGGGCGUCUGACUUUGGCUCAGGUCAUGAUCUCACUGCUUGUGGGUUCGAGCCCCGCACUGGGCU
rnacentral:tRNA from 1 species